CGCCGCGGUGCCCGGGCGACCUGCGGGAGGCCGAGCAGGGGCCUGCGCGGGUCCCGACCCCACGGGAGCCGCUUUCGGGGUCAGGGCGGGGGCCUAGCGAGCGCGUGCGGGGUGGGCCUGGAUCCCGGACCCGACCUCGCUGUGACCGGCGCAGAGACACGGAGCGCAGCUGAAAUGAGCUUCACGAAGUUGUCGUUGAGCGCGAUGCCGGCCUUAGCAUCAAAGAUAGACGAAUGGGUAUCGCCAGCAAAGUCCGUGGACACGACCUGGCGAUCAGAAUUUCAAAGAUAAGCGUGGGUCGCAGAGCAGGGACCUCCAGGAGCUCAGGCUCGUGGAGCACACUCCAUCCAUUCAUCUACAGUAUUUGAUGGAGCCCCACUCUGUCCAGCUUCUGGGGACAGGGUAUGAGGAAGACAGAUGGGGGCUUUUCAGGUAGGAGACUGGCCAAAGGAUACAGACUGCAAACAGCCUCUGAUGCUGCACCAACAGACAUCUCUUCCUGGGAAAAAUGCACGUGGAAUGUGUCAGCGAGAGGCCCUCCCUGAGGGGAGGCAGUGAGCCUGGCUCUGGAUGAUUAGGAGGAUCUGGUCAACUCCAGCCCUCAGCAGGGUCUCAGGUGGAAGGAAGUGCAGCACAAAGGCCCUGGGGGUUUGGCCCUAGCAUGGUGGAAGGCCACAGGAAGGUUUUCAGCUCUGGGGGUGAUGUGAUCUGAUUUCUUUAAGAGAUCCUGGCAGCUGUGUGAGGGUGGACCUUCAGGAGCUAAAGCGGGGAGACAGCACCAAGGUGGACGGACAGAGCUGGCACUUCUGGGAGCAAAGAGACGCGAUAUCCAUUCCUCACAGGGAAGGCAUCUGGCUGUGGCCUGCCCCGAGCGAGUGUUGAGAAAUGGGAGCCCUUGUCUUGUUCACUAAGCAUGUACUGAGCACCUGCUAUGUGCCAGGCCCUGGGAAGAUGGCUGGAGCUAUGGAAGUGAAAAACGAGGCCCAAAGUCUCUGUUGUCUUGGAGUGUACAUGCUAGCAGGGCCAACAGUGACUAUGAAAUGACAUUUCAGGUAAGGAAAAGGGUCACAAAAAGAACAUCUCUCUGAGAUGAGAGGUUGAAGUAGCGACUUGGAGAAGGUGAGGACAGACUAUGUGGCCACCUGAGGGAAAAGCUUUCCAGACCAAAGGGGCAGCAAGUGCAAAGACUCUGAGGAUGGGCAGAAUGAAAGCAUUGCUGAGACAUGAUGAAAUGCUCCAGUUAGUGACUGAGGAGAGGCCGGGCCCUAAAGCUUCAGGAAUGGGUCAGGGGCCGGGGCGACUCACCCAUUGAUGCCAACAGUCAGCUCCCGAACCACAGAAACCUUAGACACACAGAUCCGCACCUAUGCUGCAUCAAGAACACCUGUGCUUGAAGCUGUGCUACCUGAGCUACAGGUGAGGGCUUCAGGUAGGGAGGAGAAACGUGGUGGAGACAGCAGUCAGGGGCCUAGCUGGUAGAGGGUUUCAAGCUGGGGGUCAGGCCUGGAUGUCAGCUCUGGCUCAGCCACCUGCCAGCUGAGUUGUCUUGAGCAAGUUAAUGAAACUCUGGCCUGUUUCUUGAUGUCACAUCUGACCCACCACCUGGGGGCUACUGUAAGGUCUCAGUGAGAUCUCAAGGCCCAGUAGGUGCUGAUUUUAAUAGAGGGGAGAAAGUCUGACAUGAAGUGUAUUCGUGAGGAAAGGGAGAGGGAAGGGAUUGGAGAGAGCCUGGAGGAUGAAGGUAGGAGUUGCGCUUGGCACCAGAAUCAAAGGCACCUUGGCGCGGGUGGGGAUAGGAGCUGGGGGUCAGCCGACCUGUCUCCCUGGUCUCUCCAGGCUGCCACAGACCUUGUGGCGUGAGGCUGGGCUGUGCAUGUUUCCAGUAGCACUACAAGUUCAUAAAGGUAUUAGUCAGUGUUUAUUGGUGACCUUAAGAACGUUUGUAUUCCUGGGGGUUCUGUUUCUGCUCUCAUGAAAAGGGGAGAUCUGUCCAUAUGGGUGAAGAGUGGGGAUCUGAAUCCACUCAGUGACCUUUCAAAAGAAAACCCAGGUGGUCCUUCUCUCACAACUUCCCCCAGCCUUCCCUUCUCCCUUCGCUCCAGAGUGGGGUACAUGGGCUGGAGGAGAGCUGCUGUGCUGGGAAGGAAGAGCCCCGAGGAGCUUCAGUGAUGAAGCCUCACCCGGUAGGUGAAACACUGGAUCGGGCGCGCUCUCUACCAGUUACAAUGACGCUCCCAUUUCCUGGGCGCCACCAAGGGCUAGGUGCGGUGCCGAGCUCUUCACGUGCAUCAGCUCUUUGAAUCCUGUGAGGUACGUGCUAUAUACCCACUUCACAGAGGGGAAACCGAGGCCCGAGAUGACUGAGCGAGUGAUAAGCAGGGAGGGUUUUCUAGGCCCACAGCUGUUAACCUGCCUGCUGCUGCGUCUAGCAGAGUCUCCAGGACCCUGGAGCCCCGCCCAAGCCCCGCCCCACGUCGGCCACGCCCACCCCUGCGGUAAUGAGGCCGCCGACUGCCUCGCCCGAGGCCAGGGAGGAGGCCGGGAGCGAAUGGGGUGGCCCUCCGGAAGGCCUGGAUUCGUCUGGCUGGAGCGUGUGCGCGCACCUCUGGCCGGGGGAGGUAGGGCGAGCAGGGACCCCCGAGUCCCAACUCCACUAUUCCCGUGCUGAGACCCAGAAACGCGCUUUGUGUCCUCUUACAUCUGGUGGCCGCCCUGUAAAAUGGGGACACUAAACACUGGCCUCAGAGGUGGCUGUGAGGCUUCACUGAGCGCACACCUGUAAAGUGCUCGGCACCCGGCGCGCUCAAGUGUCUUCGCUUUGUGCGAUCCAGGGAGGACAAAGUCCACCAAUCCCCAAGCGGCUCUUUCGCAGCAGCGUCAAUUUUAUGUGAAACCUCGCUCGCCCAGGCGCUUCAACAACCAGCGGCCGUCCUCAGAGGCGUCCCCUCGUAAACCCGGCUCCGGCCUCCCUCCUGGCCUGUUUCUACCCUUCCACCGCGCUAUUGGUGCAAAACCCAACCUGGGGGCAGGGGUCUUCGUCCCCUCCACCAUUGCCAUAGAAACCACUUUGCCGGCAAAGCCGGUGGUGAGGAGAGUGGGGCUGGAGGGAGCAAGGGCAGCUGCUCCGGAUGGAAGAGACCCGGCAGGCAAGGCCACCCCGCACCUCCUGCCCGGCUCCCGGUGGACACUACUGGUGCGCCGCUCGCCGGCAGGUACUCAGACCCGGCUACAGGAGCUCCCCGACCGCCCUUCCCUCCCCUCCCUGGGGGCACUCCGCCGCCUCCCUCACCUGGGCACGGCUGUCGCAGGAGCUGGACAACGGUGACAUUGGUGAGGAUGACGUCGCGUUUCGACAUGGCCUCCUAAGGUUUCAUGGCCCAGCCAGCUGCCUCGUCACCCGCCGCGAUGUUACUGCGAGACGGGGGCUCGGGGGCUGGAGGAGCUGGAGCUUCUUGCCGUGACGUCACAGUCCAGUGACGUCACAAGAGGAGGCAGCGCGAAGGCCCCCUCCCAGUCGAAGCGUGUGGCCGUGUACCACCGUUCCAAGCCCACCCCUGGCGUCUAGAAUGGAAUCCAACAUUUUACACUGGUCUUCAAAGCCCUUUCUCUGCUGUCUUCUUUCUUCUUUCUUCUCUUUGGGCACACUGGCUCCAUGCCGCUCUGGACCCUCUUCUGGAUAGUUACCCUAGCUAUUUCUUUGUGCCUGGAAGUCCUACCCAGGUCUUCCCUUGGCUGCCUCUUGGCUUCCCUCAGGUGCCACCCUUUAAGAGAGGCCCUCCUAACUCCACGUCUAAAGUUCUCUCCUUUCUCAGUCACUAUCUGCCAUCACCCCCACUCCCUCCGUCUACCCAUCGUCCGGGAAGCCUUGUCUGACUUCCCAUCCUGGGUUAAAUAUUCCAGUGUGCAAAACUGCUCUAGGGUUACACUCUAUAUUUUCCACGCAGCAUAUGUCUCUCUAAAAAUCAUCCUGUUUAUUCAUUUGUUAGCUUGCCAAUUGUCUCUGCCCACUAGAGAGUGCUUGUCUGC